UAUAUUUGCAAAAGUGUGCGAGAAUAAAAUGAAUGGAUGGAUUAUAGGGCAAGGACACACGGAAAAUAGGUGCAAUGUGUGGAAUUUUCAAAAGACACCACGUUUUUAAAAAUCUAGUGUCUACCCCCAGUAAAAGUUAGUAGCAAUAAUCAGUUGUGGUGUUCUCAUACAGCCACUAGAUGGCGAUGCAGUGUAAUUCCAGUUGAUGCCGGAGUUGCAUUGCUGGGAGAUCGAGCCAGCCAGAUGAACUGAAGUGUAGCACAGCUGGUACACGGCUCCGGCACAACUUCAGCUGUUAGCAAGUACAAUAUCGCAGGUCUGACCAAUGAUAUCAUUGCUGUUUUGAUAAAACCUUCAUGUUAUUUUAUAUACUGGUGUAUAUAUUUAAGUUGUCUGUGACAGUAAGCUGCUUAAUUGUUCACUGGCUCCCCUAGCUAGGUGGAUUCAUGAAGUAACCAACCGACCCUCCUAUCGGACACUUUUAAACAGUGUCGUCAAGGUUACCGUCACGUUAAGUAAGAAUUCGCAAUUUUGUAUAGAAUGCGGUUUCAUUUCACCAUUGUGAAAAUUUUAAAAUGAAUGUCAAAAACACUGAAUUAGUUAACCAUAAAUUGUUUGAUAACUUGAUGGUUAUAAGAUUAGGAAGAAAAUAUUAUCAUGAUAACAGUUGACGUAUUCAGCUAAUGGGUUUCACGUGUACAUUAACAGUUAUAUUUAUCUAUUCAUAGUGAUGAAUAUUGAACGUUUUUAAAACGUAUAGAUGUUUAUGGACCGAAGAACAUGUCAGGUCAGGUAUAGUGCACCACAAAAAUGCUGUUUCUUGUGUUUGCAGAUUAAAUGAAUAUGUUUGCAAGUCAGAUAAGUUCAUCAUAUGGAAAGGGUUUGGCAAUGAAUUCCUUGCAGUAGACUCCCAGCCUUGAGGUUUCAUUAUUUUUGUCAGUUAAUAGAGCCCAGUAAUUGCCUUAGACUUUUGUGUAUUACUCAGAAUACUUAGUGAACUUAAUUUACACACCCCCUCCCUGUUUCUGUGUGUACAUCCCCAGAUAGCAAGUGACUCCGGGCCGGAUUCUGGCCCGAAGUCAGCACUGCCAGGCCGGACUCGGCGCAAUUCCGGCCCGGAGUCGCUGGCUAUCUGGGUCUCAGGAAUGCGUAGGUACAUAUAUAUAUCAAGUGCCACGCUGCACAGUGUCACAGCUGUGAAUUUGUGUGUGUGUGUGUGUGUGUGUGUG